CAAAGAUCCUCGCAUUUCUCUCCAACCAUAGAGCGUAGAAUAAUUCAGCUGCAACAAUUUUGAAUAUGUUAGCCCGACUUGAUUUUCUUUUAGCUUUACCAACAAUCCAUUGUAUAAACUGCUCCCAGUUCUGCAUACUGGAGUGAACCUCUCUGAUCCAGGACAGUGUCUGAUCCUUUAGUUGUGUAGCAAAUGAACAACUAUGGAAAAGGUGGUCUCUGGUUUCCGGAGCUUGCUGGCACAGAACACAUAUGUUAUC
rnacentral:lncRNA from 1 species